rnacentral:rRNA from 1 species
GACGGAGGGUGCUAGCGUUGUUCGGAAUUACUGGGCGUAAAGGGCGCGUAGGCGGCCGUUUGCGUCGGAUGUGAAAGCCCGGGGCUCAACCCCGGAACGGCAUCCGAUACGGCGGGACUGGAGUGUGGGAGAGGUUGGUGGAAUUCCCAGUGUAGAGGUGAAAUUCGUAGAUAUUGGGAAGAACACCGGUGGCGAAGGCGGCCAACUGGACCACAACUGACGCUGAGGCGCGAAAGCGUGGGGAGCAAACAGG